rnacentral:rRNA from 1 species
UGGGGAAUUUUGGACAAUGGGCGAAAGCCUGAUCCAGCAAUGCCGCAUGUGUGAAGAAGGCCUUCGGGUUGUAAAGCACUUUUGUCCGGAAAGAAAUCCUUGGCUCUAAUACAGUCGGGGGAUGACGGUACCGGAAGAAUAAGCACCGGCUAACUACGUGCCAGCAGCCGCGGUAAUACGUAGGGUGCAAGCGUUAAUCGGAAUUACUGGGCGUAAAGCGUGCGCAGGCGGUUUGCUAAGACCGAUGUGAAAUCCCCGGGCUCAACCUGGGAACUGCAUUGGUGACUGGCAGGCUAGAGUAUGGCAGAGGGGGGUAGAAUUCCACGUGUAGCAGUGAAAUGCGUAGAGAUGUGGAGGAAUACCGAUGGCGAAGGCAGCCCCCUGGGCCAAUACUGACGCUCAUGCACGAAAGCGUGGGGAGCAAACAGGAUUAGAUACCCUGGUAGUCCACGCCCUAAACGAUGUCAACUAGUUGUUGGGGAUUCAUUUCCUUAGUAACGUAGCUAACGCGUGAAGUUGACCGCCUGGGGAGUACGGUCGCAAGAUUAAAACUCAAAUGAAUUGACGGGGUCAUAGCUG